AUCGAACGCUGGCGGCAGGCCUAAUACAUGCAAGUCGAGCGAGCGGCGGACGGGCGAGUAAUGUAUGGGGAUCUGCCUGACAGAGGGGGAUAACUACUGGAAAAGGUGGCUAAUACUGCAUACUACCGGUUGAACUCAUAUGGGAUUAGCUAGUCGGGGGGGUAAAGGUUCACCUAGGCGACGAUGUCUAGCUGGUCUGAGAGGAUGAUCGGCCACACUGGGACUGAGACACGGCCCAGACUCCUACGGGAGGCAGCAGUAGGGAAUAUUGCACAAUGGGCGAAAGCCUGAUGGAGCCAUGCCGCGUGUGUGAAGAAGGCCUUAGGAUUGUAAAGCACUGUUGGCGGAGAAGCGUUACCCGAAGAGGAAGCAACGGCUAACUCCGUGCCAGCAGCCGCGGUAAUAC
rnacentral:rRNA from 1 species